rnacentral:rRNA from 1 species
GUGCUUAACACAUGCAAGUCGAACGAUGAACCGGUUUCGGCCGGGGAUUAGUGGCGAACGGGUGAGUAACACGUGGGCAAUCUGCCCUGCACUCUGGGAUAAGCCCGGGAAACUGGGUCUAAUACCGGAUACGACACUCCGAGGCAUCUUGGGGUGUGGAAAGUUCCGGCGGUGCAGGAUGAGCCCGCGGCCUAUCAGCUUGUUGGUGGGGUAAUGGCCUACCAAGGCGACGACGGGUAGCCGGCCUGAGAGGGUGACCGGCCACACUGGGACUGAGACACGGCCCAGACUCCUACGGGAGGCAGCAGUGGGGAAUAUUGCACAAUGGGCGAAAGCCUGAUGCAGCGACGCCGCGUGAGGGAUGACGGCCUUCGGGUUGUAAACCUCUUUCAGCAGGGAAGAAGCGAAAGUGACGGUACCUGCAGAAGAAGCACCGGCUAACUACGUGCCAGCAGCCGCGGUAAUACGUAGGGUGCGAGCGUUGUCCGGAAUUAUUGGGCGUAAAGAGCUCGUAGGCGGUUUGUCGCGUCGAUUGUGAAAGCCCGGGGCUUAACCCUGGGUCUGCAGUCGAUACGGGCAGGCUAGAGUUCGGCAGGGGAGACUGGAAUUCCUGGUGUAGCGGUGAAAUGCGCAGAUAUCAGGAGGAACACCGGUGGCGAAGGCGGGUCUCUGGGCCGAUACUGACGCUGAGGAGCGAAAGCGUGGG